UACGAAGGGGGCUAGCGUUGCUCGGAAUCACUGGGCGUAAAGGGCGCGUAGGCGGCGUUUUAAGUCGGGGGUGAAAGCCUGUGGCUCAACCACAGAAUGGCCUUCGAUACUGGGACGCUUGAGUAUGGUAGAGGUUGGUGGAACUGCGAGUGUAGAGGUGAAAUUCGUAGAUAUUCGCAAGAACACCAGUGGCGAAGGCGGCUCACUGGCCCGGUACUGACGCUGAGGUGCGGAAGCGUGGGGAGCAAACAGG
rnacentral:rRNA from 1 species